rnacentral:rRNA from 1 species
AGAAGAGUUUGAUCCUGGCUCAGGAUGAACGCUAGCGAUAGGCCUAACACAUGCAAGUCGAGGGGCAGCAUUGAAAUACUUGCUAUUUUAGAUGGCGACCGGCGCACGGGUGAGUAACACGUAUGCAACCUACCUACAACAGGGAAAUAACCCGGCGAAAGUCGGACUAAUGUCCCAUAAAACAGGGGUCCCGCAUGGGAAUAUUUGUUAAAGAUUUUAUCGGUUGUAGAUGGGCAUGCGUUCCAUUAGCUUGUUGGUGAGGUAACGGCUCACCAAGGCAACGAUGGAUAGGGGAACUGAGAGGUUUGUCCCCCACACUGGAACUGAGACACGGACCAGACUCCUACGGGAGGCAGCAGUGAGGAAUAUUGGUCAAUGGGCGAGAGCCUGAACCAGCCAAAUCGCGUGAAGGAAGACUGCCCUAUGGGUUGUAAACUUCUUUUAUACAGGAAUAAAAAGGAUUACGUGUAGUCCAUUGCAUGUACUGUAUGAAUAAGCAUCGGCUAACUCCGUGCCAGCAGCCGCGGUAAUACGGAGGAUGCGAGCGUUAUCCGGAUUUAUUGGGUUUAAAGGGUGCGCAGGCGGCCUUUUAAGUCAGUGGUGAAAUCCCGAAGCUUAACUUCGGACUUGCCAUUGAAACUGGGAGGCUUGAGUGUAGAUGAAGUAGGCGGAAUUCGUUGUGUAGCGGUGACAUGCUUAGAUAUAACGAGGAACUCCAAUUGCGUAGGCAGCUUACUAAACUAUAACUGACGCUCAUGCACGAAAGCGUGGGGAUCAAACAGGAUUAGAUACCCUGGUAGUCCACGCCGUAAACGAUGAUUACUAGUUGUAUGCGAUAUGAUAGUAUGUGACUAAGCGAAAGCGAUAAGUAAUCCACCUGGGGAGUACGCCGGCAACGGUGAAACUCAAAGGAAUUGACGGGGGCCCGCACAAGCGGAGGAACAUGUGGUUUAAUUCGAUGAUACGCGAGGAACCUUACCCGGGCUUGAAAUGUACCUGACCGACUAUGAAAGUAGUCUUCUAGCAAUAGCAGGUAUGUAGGUGCUGCAUGGUUGUCGUCAGCUCGUGCCGUGAGGUGUCGGCUUAAGUGCCAUAACGAGCGCAACCCUCAUUAUUAGUUACUAACAGGUUAAGCUGAGGACUCUAAUAAGACUGCCAGCGUAAGCUGUGAGGAAGGUGGGGAUGACGUCAAAUCAGCACGGCCCUUACGUCCGGGGCGACACACGUGUUACAAUGGGGGGUACAAAGGGCAGCUACCUGGCGACAGGAUGCUAAUCUCUAAAACCUCUCCCAGUUCGGAUUGGAGUCUGCAACUCGACUCCAUGAAGCUGGAUUCGCUAGUAAUCGCGCAUCAGCCAUGGCGCGGUGAAUACGUUCCCGGGCCUUGUACACACCGCCCGUCAAGCCAUGGAAGCCGGGGGGACCUGAAGUACGUAACCGCAAGGAGCGUCCUAGGGUAAAACUGGUAACUGGGGCUAAGUCGUAACAAGGUAGCCGUACCGGAAGGUGCGGCUGGAACACCUCCUU